rnacentral:rRNA from 1 species
GAUGAACGCUGGCGGUGUGCCUAAUACAUGCAAGUCGAGCGGUAAGGCCCCCUUCGGGGGGUACACGAGCGGCGGACGGCUGAGUAACGCGUAGGAACCUACCCCAAAGUGAGGGAUAACUGCUCGAAAGAGUAGCUAAUACCGCAUGUGGUCUUCGGAUUAAACCUUCGGGGCGUUUGGGAAGGGCCUGCGUAUGAUUAGUCUUGUUGGUAAAGGUAAAAGACUUACCAAGGCGACGAUCAUUA